rnacentral:lncRNA from 7 species
UUGACAUGUUUGUGUCACUUUUAUGUCCACCAAUAACGUGACAUGUUACAUCAGCAACUACUGAUUUAAGCAAAACCCGAUUUUGUAUGGAUCGGACGUAUUUCGCGUGCAGUAACGUUUGUGCUGCUUCAGGUUUCAACGUUUCGUUCGUUCGCCUGUCGCUUCUACGAGCAGGAGGCUGUGGCCUCGGUCGGCUACGAUGACGUACGAUACCCUAAUCCUAAUAAUUGAGCUCGGAAAGCAAGCAGGGACAGGAACUUUUGCUUACAGUCACAGAGAACCGUGCACGCUAACACUACUACGUCCACCGUCCACGGCCUACGACUACGAAUUAGCAAAACAAAAACUGUUAAAUCUGUGAAAUCCUGAAGCUCCGAUCGUCUGAAAAAGAGAGCGACGUUCGGCGUGG